CUCUCGGCAACGGAUAUCUUGGCUCCC
rnacentral:rRNA from 1 species